rnacentral:rRNA from 1 species
CCCUUAGAUGUUCUGGGCCGCACGCGCGCUACACUGACGAAUGCAACGAGCUUAUAACCUUGGCCGAAAGGUCUGGGUAAUCUCCAAAUUUCGUCGUGAUGGGGAUAGAUUAUUGCAAUUAUUAAUCUUCAACGAGGAAUGCCUAGUAAGCGCAAGUCAUCAGCUUGCGUUGAUUACGUCCCUGCCCUUUGUACACACCGCCCGUCGCUCCUACCGAUUGAAUGGUCCGGUGAAGCGUUCGGACCGUGGCCUUUGGACGGUUCGCCGUCUGUUGGCUGCGGGAAGUUCGUUAAACCUUAUCAUUUAGAGGGAGGAGAAGUCGUANCA